rnacentral:rRNA from 1 species
AUAACAAUGAUUCCCCUAGUAACUGCGAGUGAAGAGGGACAAGCUCAAAUUUUAAAUCCGUCGGGUUUCACCUGACCGAGUUGUAAUUUGAAGAGGCGUUUUCCGCGUUUUUGAUCAGUCCAAGUCCUUUGGGAUAGGGCAUCAUGGAGGGUGAGAAUCCCGUUCGGCUGAUCAGAUUCGCUUUACGAUACGUCAUCUAAGAGUCAAGUUGUUUGGGAAUGCAGCUUAAAAUGGGAGGUAAAUUUCUCCUAAGGCUAAAUAACGGCGAGAGACCGAUAGCGAACAAGUACCGUGAGGGAAAGAUGAAAAGAACUUUGAAAAGAGAAUUAAACAGUACGUGAAAUUGUUGAAAGGGAAACGAUUGAAGCCAGUCGUACCGGUGGGUAAUCAGCCUUUCGUCGUGAUUAUGUGGAGCGUGAGGAGUUAAACGCCCUCAUGCCUGCAUAUUCGUGUUCUUUGGGUGUACUUACCCGCAUGGUAGGUUAACAUCAAUUUCGAACGUCAUAAAAUGGUUGGAGGAAUGUAGCUUCGAUCUCGUAUUGAAGUGUUAUAGCCUUCGGCAGAUGUGAUGAUCGGGAUUGAGGAUUGCAACGGAUACCCUCCGGGGCUACCCGUCUGAUCUCUGAAAGUUGCUCUGGUGCCGAAAGCUCGCUUACGGUCAUCAAAGUUGACGUUCAACAGGUUAGAACGGGAUAAAUUCGUUAAGGAUGU